CCUACGGGCAGCAGCAGUGAGGAAUAUUGGUCAAUGGACGAGAGUCUGAACCAGCCAAGUAGCGUGAAGGAUGACUGCCCUAUGGGUUGUAAACUUCUUUUAUAUGGGAAUAAAAUGUUCCACGUGUGGGAUUUUGUAUGUACCAUAUGAAUAAGGAUCGGCUAACUCCGUGCCAGCAGCCGCGGUAAUACGGAGGAUCCGAGCGUUAUCCGGAUUUAUUGGGUUUAAAGGGAGCGUAGGUGGAUUGUUAAGUCAGUUGUGAAAGUUUGCGGCUCAACCGUAAAAUUGCAGUUGAAACUGGCAGUCUUGAGUACAGUAGAGGUGGGCGGAAUUCGUGGUGUAGCGGUGAAAUGCUUAGAUAUCACGAAGAACUCCGAUUGCGAAGGCAGUUCACUGGACUGCAACUGACACUGAGGCUCGAAAGUGUGGGUAUCAAACAGGAUUAGAUACCCCAGUAGUC
rnacentral:rRNA from 1 species